CAUGUCAGCGCACUUUGCUGACAUGUAGAAAAUCGCGUCCUAGAGGGCGCGAUUUGUUGUCAUGUCAGCAACUCGCGCUGACGUGG
rfam:Gossypium hirsutum cultivar TM-1 chromosome 22, whole genome shotgun sequence